UACGUAGGGUGCGAGCGUUGUCCGGGAUUACUGGGCGUAGAGAGCUCGUAGGUGGUUUGUCGCGUUGUCCGUGAAAACUCACAACUCAAUUGUGGGCGUGCGGGCGAUACGGGCAGACUGGAGUACUGCAGGGGAGACUGGAAUUCCUGGUGUAGCGGUGGAAUGCGCAGAUAUCAGGAGGAACACCGGUGGCGAAGGCGGGUCUCUGGGCAGUAACUGACGCUGAGGAGCGAAAGCGUGGGGAGCGAACAGG
rnacentral:rRNA from 1 species